CCUACGGGAGGCAGCAGUGAGGAAUAUUGGUCAAUGGCCGGAAGGCUGAACCAGCCAUGCCGCGUGAAGGUCAGUGCCCUAUGGGCGUUAAACUUCUUUUGUGCGGGAGCAAUAAUGGUCACGUGUGGCCAGACGAGAGUACCGUACGAAUAAGCAUCGGCUAACUCCGGGCCAGCAGCCGCGGUAAUACGGGGGAUGCAAGCGUUAUCCGGAUUUAUUGGGUUUAAAGGGUGCGUAGGCUGUGAGGUAAGUCAGCGGUGAAAUGCCCCCGCUCAACGGGGUGAAGUGCCAUUGAUACUGCCUGGCUGGAAUGCGGAUGCGGUGGGAGGAAUGUGUGGUGUAGCGGUGAAAUGCAUAGAUAUCACACAGAACACCGAUUGCGAAGGCAUCUCACGAAUCCGCGAUUGACGCUGAUGCACGAAAGCGUGGGUAUCAAACAGGAUUAGAUACCCUGGUAGUC
rnacentral:rRNA from 1 species